GCCUUGCUAGCUCAACGGUAGGGCGUGAGACUCUUAUAGUCCCUCUGAUCGGGUAAGAGCCUUAAGGUUGCGGGUUCGACUCCCGUGCGAGGCA